UGGGAGGACCCGACCGUCAAGAUAAUUUCCAAGAUUUUCGUUGGACAUCCGUUUACACGGAGCCUUGCACUUACAUCAACUCUAUCGCCGUGGGUAUUCUUGCCAAGCUUGCCGCCACGGCUUAGAGCCAUAACAUUUGAUGAGACCACUUCGAUGGAAAGUAUUAUUCUAGGGUUUCCUUAACCUAAUAUAUUUGCAGAAGAAUGUGGCCAUGCAAUGUGACUCUAUUUUCAUUAUUUUUGCCUUUGUAGGUUGCUUUUUGGAAAUCCGUUUUCUCCAAAAAUAUAAAAUUGUAUGGGUAUAAUAAUAAGACCCUGAUGAUUUGAAACUACAAUUAAGUGGAACUAAUGAAUAGCCGGAA
rnacentral:lncRNA from 1 species